UACGUAGGGGGCCAGCGUUGUCCGGAUUCAUUGGGCGUAAAGCGCGUGUAGGCGGCCAGGUAGGUCCGAUGUGAAAUCUGGAGGCUCAACCUCCAGCGGUCAUUGGAAACCAUCUGGCUAGAGUCCGGAAGAGGAGAGUGGAAUUCCUGGUGUAGCGGUGAAAUGCGCAGAUAUCAGGAAGAACACCAAUGGCGAAGGCAGCUCUCUGGGACGGUACUGACGCUGAGGCGCGAAAGCGUGGGGAGCGAACAGG
rnacentral:rRNA from 1 species